rnacentral:rRNA from 1 species
GAUGAACGCUAGCUACAGGCUUAACACAUGCAAGUCGAGGGGCAUCAUGACUGAGGUUUACCUUAGUUGAUGGCGACCGGCGAAUGGGUGAGUAACACGUAUCCAACCUGCCCGUUACUGGAGGAUAGCCCUCCGAAAGGAGAAUUAAUACUCCAUGUUGUGCUGAAUUCGCAUGUUUUCGGCACUAAAGAUUCAUCGGUAACGGAUGGGGAUGCGUCCGAUUAGGUAGUAGGCGGGGUAACGGCCCACCUAGCCGACGAUGGGUAGGGGUUCUGAGAGGAAGGUCCCCCANAUUGGAACUGAGACACGGUCCAAACUCCUACGGGAGGCAGCAGUGAGGAAUAUUGGUCAAUGGGCGAGAGCCUGAACCAGCCAAGUAGCGUGCAGGAUGACGGCCCUAUGGGUUGUAAACUGCUUUUAUGCGGGAUAAAGCGGGCGACGUGUCGCCCCUUGCAGGUACCGCAUGAAUAAGGACCGGCUAAUUCCGUG